rnacentral:rRNA from 1 species
ACAAGGAUUCCCCUAGUAACUGCGAGUGAAGCGGGAAAAGCUCAAAUUUAAAAUCUGGUGGCCUCUGGUCAUCCGAGUUGUAAUUUAGAGAAGCGUCUUCCGCGCUGGACCGUGCACAAGUCUCCUGGAAUGGAGCGUCAUAGAGGGUGAGAAUCCCGUCUUUGGCACGGAUCCCGGGGCUUAUGUGAUGCGCUCUCGAAGAGUCGAGUUGUUUGGGAAUGCAGCUCAAAAUGGGUGGUGAACUCCAUCUAAAGCUAAAUAUUGGCGAGAGACCGAUAGCGAACAAGUACCGUGAGGGAAAGAUGAAAAGCACUUUGGAAAGAGAGUGAAACAGUACGUGAAAUUGUUGAAAGGGAAACGCUUGAAGUCAGUCGCGUCGUCCGAGACUCAGCCUCGCCUCGGCUUGGUGUACUUCUCGACCGACGGGUCAGCAUCAAUUUUGCCCCUUGGAUAAUGGCGAGGGAAAUGUGGCACCUUUGCGGGUGCGUUAUAGUCCCUCGUCGCAUGCAAGGGUCGGGAUUGAGGAACUCAGCACGCGCCUUUUGGUGUCGGGGUUUUGCCCAUGAUACGUGCUUAGGAUGUUGGCGUAAUGGCUUUAAACGACCCGUCUG